rnacentral:lncRNA from 1 species
AAAUAUUAUACCCUUUUUGAACCUUAGCCUUAAACAGGAUGUGAACUUGAAAUUCUUUACCUUGAGUUGGGAUGAGCUUAACUGUAUGUGAUGAAAAGGUUCAAGUUUGGGGUUGCAUGGGCGAAAUUGGAAAGCUUUAAAGAAGCAUUGAGCUCAAUUGUUGAAAAAGAAAAAUGCAUGCGAAAAAGAAAAAAAUAAGAAAAAGCAUGAAGAUGGGCUCAAUGAAAAGAAAAAGGGAAAAAGUUGGGAAUGAGAGAGUUUGUGAGGAAGAGAGUUGUGCUUAAUUGUCAAAUUUUAUGAUAGCAACUCAAGGAUUUUUCAUUCCAGAAAAACC